AGUGAACGCUGGCGGUAGGCCUAACACAUGCAAGUCGAACGGCAGCACAGUAAGAGCUUGCUCUUACGGGUGGCGAGUGGCGGACGGGUGAGGAAUACAUCGGAAUCUACUUUUUCGUGGGGGAUAACGUAGGGAAACUUACGCUAAUACCGCAUACGACCUACGGGUGAAAGCAGUGGAUCUUCGGACCUUGCGCGUUUGAAUGAGCCGAUGUCGGAUUAGCUAGUUGGCGGGGUAAAGGCCCACCAAGGCAACGAUCCGUAGCUGGUCUGAGAGGAUGAUCAGCCACACUGGAACUGAGACACGGUCCAGACUCCUACGGGAGGCAGCAGUGGGGAAUAUUGGACAAUGGGCGCAAGCCUGAUCCAGCCAUACCGCGUGGGUGAAGAAGGCCUUCGGGUUGUAAAGCCCUUUUGUUGGGAAAGAAAAGCAGCAGGUUAAUACCCCGCUGUUCUGACGGUACCCAAAGAAUAAGCACCGGCUAACUUCGUG
rnacentral:rRNA from 1 species